CACAAUCUAUAGAGCAGUUCCAAGAGCAUGCAGAGAACUGCCAGGGUGAUAAUAUAUCACUGUCAUCGUGCUCCAGCAAUGAACUGACAGACAACAAAGAUCUGUUAGAACGAUUGAAAACAUUGGCAGAAAAGAAAACAUCAAAGGAAAGAAAGAAAAAGAAAGGAAAAUGAGGAUUGUUUCCUGGAUUCUGACAUCAAGAGGUUAAAAAAAUAAGAGGUUUGGGAGUCACUCAGAUGGAGAAAUCUUUCCAGGAGUCACCAUCACAUGAAUCACCCUGUUCAGUUUCUGGAGCCAGGCUGAAUAACAGUGAGCCAGAUCAUAAAAUGGAAAAUAUACAGCUUUCAGCUGGCAUUAAAAUAAUAAAAAAGCAAGCUUCAAAGAUGUAGCCACAAGACCCCUACUAAGCUUGUCAGAGUUUCUGACUGUUCUGGUUCCCAGAGAGAUUUUGGCCCAGUGCUCUUCGACGGGAGCAAGCAGUCGAAGAGGUCUUUGAUGCUAU